UGUUGUUUCCUGAAAUCAACUUUUGGUUUAAAUUUCAGAACUAAAAAUUGUGCUCGAUUCUAGUCAAUUCUUGACAAAACCGGGAUAUUAUAUUCGGGUAUAUUCAAAUGCUGCAAUUACCCUUAUACAUUUGAUAUCCCUGUCUAUCAAGGUACAAGGGUAUAUCCAAAUACUGCAAUUACCUUUGAUGUGAAACUGAUUUACUGAACAUCAUAUUUGUUAAAUGAGUUCACGUGCACAUGUACACAAUUACUGAACACAGUCGGUGAUCAACACAUGCUUAGCAUUAUGCUAUUCUGGUGUUUGGUUUAGGCAUGGUGAGGUGUAGGAUUUUUAUAUAGGUUAUAUUAUAGAAUCUUCCUAGAAAUUUUACUUGAGUAGCUUUCUCCUACUGUAUUAUUCUACUGAGCUGCUAGCUUAAUGUGGAAGGUGGAAGGUGGAAGGUGGAAGGUGCAAUUGCAUAUUUGGUAGCUUGUCAGAUCAUAUCAUAUGUUGCCUUCAAAACGAGGAAUUGGUGGUUAGGAUGAAAACAAUCAGGGAUUCUCUCAUCCUUUUUCUUGGAGCUUGAAUAAGGCGAGACACUCAGCUUAGUUGUGCAUAUUUAUCCGGAGGAAUUGAUGCAUCUCUUCAUGGCUGGUGGUGGAGGCGGGUCACUCGAGGAGAAACUUCAGAGGGAAAACUGAUGCCAACAACAAGAUGUAUGUGAUUCAAAAGCUGGUGCUGAGCUUCUUGACUUGGUUCUUCGCAACAUAAUUUCUCUCUCUCUCUCUCUCUUUUAAUUUAUUUUUCGUUUCUUGAAUUAAUUUAAUUUUGUGUAAGAAAUGGUUGGUAAUUAGGUAAAUGCUGUAAUUAGUUUGAAUUGUGUAAGUUAGGUUAAUUUAUUGUGGAGUGAUUUUGUUGGUUUGUUCGAUUAGGUACAUACUGGUAUAUUCAAUGAGCCAAUGAGGAUCACAUUUGUUAUCAAAGUAAUUAUUUUAUCUUUCAGCAAUAUUGUAAAGGCCCAAUGUAGAAACAAAGUCCAAACAUAUUUUUUAUGGAGAGA